UGGUAUAGAAAAGCUGUUCUUGCUCAAUGAAGUAUCUGCUCCAGCGGCUAAGUUCCCAAGGCGGAUGAUUAGGUUAGGUACUAGGCACACACGACAGGACGUACGAAACGACCAGAAUAUCCGAGAAGAAGUAUAGGUAAUGGAACUUGGAGGUAGGGCGUUUGAUAGAUACUCCACCUCGCACUGAAAAAAUAACACAAAAAAGUUUGAAAAGAAAAAUGCGCAUCAUCGGAGAACGCUGGCACAAGUAAACGUUUUGUCCAUGAAAAACAUCCGGUGCUGAUGCGCGUCGCCACGUGCGCCAAUGCAUGCAUGCGGGCGCCGCGGGAGGCUCUCGCCAGGCUCGGGAGCGCGCCCCCAUGUGUCAGGUGUUGGCGCUGAUCGGAUCGAGUCACCGGCGUAUGCGUGGGUGCGUGCGUGUGCGUGUCUGUAUGUGGAUGAGUAUGGAGGUUGCAGAUGGUGCCGCUUGCUGCCGAUGAAGCAUUCGCUGGAAUAUCCUUGUGGCGUCGUUGCAGCUGACGUGUUAUUUUCGCUACUUAUCAGUUAGCGCACGGCAGCGUAGAACGUGGUCAUUUUGGCGUUCGAGAGCCCGCUCGAAGCGGUGUACAGGAAGCGCAGUUGAGCUUGUGAGACGGGAACGUCUAUGUUAGUCCAAUGUUGCUGACCUGGUUGUCGUUCUGGAUGCGGUUGUGCUGUGCGGGAAGCGCUUCGUGCCAUUGCCGGCUCAUCCCGAAUUCGGCUGGGACCGGUGCGUGGUACGUGGAUGUAUGCUUUGCAUGCCAUCAAGACUGAAGGAUUUCGCACUUGCCAUCUCCUGUCGAGGCUUUUUUAGGUCGUCUGCAACCAGCUGAACGUUGACUGUGUGUAGGCGUCUCAGCGCGGAUGGUUUUUUUUGAUCCGUUAUGCGCAAUCUCAUGGCCAAGUUGUUCGGGCGCUGGGCAGGCGCCGACACAUCAGCGUGUCCAGCAUGGGGACAGGCGCCUGGAGCAGGUUCGCCAUCCGAUUGGUCACCCGUUGGACUGCUGCACCCUAUGGUUUCUACAGGAAGAUGAAUCCAGGGCUGAAUGAACGUAGAGUCCAUCGAAGCUGACCAGCGGUCUCUCGCCCGACUUCAGACUCCAAUCCUGUAUCCGAAGAUAAUAUCUGGAUCGAUGGAGCGAUCUUGCAGCCUCGGAAAACUCAGCGCAGACCGUGAACACUCGCGGUAUACCUGCAUUGCCCCGCAGCAGCAUGCGCAUCCCGCGCUCGGGCAGUGCAAAUGAAGUAGACUCGGUAUUCAGUGGGAACAUGGUUGUCGCCAGACAUUUGUGCAACGCCGCCCGUAUGCAUACCUGGACGGUAGGAUUGCCCGAGCAGUUUCCGUCGCAGGAAGCGUGCGAGGCAUACGUGCAGCGUGGCUGGACAGGGUCCCGGGCGGGCGGCCUCUGCUGCAGGGUGAGUCUGGAACGACGCUUCUCGUAACGCUCAAGCGCAUCGUGCUGUCGAUUCGCGUCAGGGAUCAGACGAUCGCAUGAAGCAUAUGAACAGUGGGAGUCUUGGAAGCGUUUGUGGGCGCACGACCUCCGAAUUGAGCCCUGCUGCUGCUAUCCUUUGUAUUGAACGCUGUACUGUCCGGGAUUUCAGGCCUUUUUCGUGCGCCGCGUCAUGUGCUGGGUGUAGCCGUGCGCGACGCGUACGCGGCGGUCCUGACGCGCUGCAGCACUACGAGGUUAGAGGCGCUCGACUUUAUUGUGUUUCACUUUCGCUGCGUCGAUGCGAAUGGUACUGCGCAUUGCGUAGGAGGAGAUCGAAUUCACGAUGCAGUGUACCGUAUAGAUUGUGGACGCAUCGCCUAUAGGAUAUAUAUACUUGUCUGAGCAAUGCACGGAGGACCGCAUUCUUCAUUUAGGUCAGUCAUACCAUACUAGUCAGAUUGAUGAGGAACACUGAAAGAAACAAGUAGAUGCGCUCUGUGUCAGAAAUUGGUAUUCUUAAAGAUCGC